UACGUAGGGUGCAAGCGUUGUCCGGAAUUAUUGGGCGUAAAGAGCUCGUAGGCGGUUUGUCGCGUCUGCUGUGAAAACUCAGGGCUUAACUCUGAGCUUGCAGUGGGUACGGGCAGACUAGAGUGCGGUAGGGGAGACUGGAAUUCCUGGUGUAGCGGUGAAAUGCGCAGAUAUCAGGAGGAACACCAGUGGCGAAGGCGGCGACCUGGGCCAAUAUUGACGCUGAGGUGCGAAAGCGUGGGGAGCAAACAGG
rnacentral:rRNA from 1 species